UACGAAGGGGGCUAGCGUUGUUCGGAAUCACUGGGCGUAAAGCGCACGUAGGCGGAUCUUUAAGUCAGGGGUGAAAUCCCGAGGCUCAACCUCGGAACUGCCUUUGAUACUGGGGAUCUCGAGUCCGGGAGAGGUGAGUGGAACUGCGAGUGUAGAGGUGAAAUUCGUAGAUAUUCGCAAGAACACCAGUGGCGAAAGCGGCUCUCUGGCCCGGUUCUGACGCUGAGACGCGAAAGCGUGGGGAGCAAACAGG
rnacentral:rRNA from 1 species